UACGUAGGGUGCAAGCGUUAAUCGGAAUUACUGGGCGUAAAGCGUGCGCAGGCGGUUUUGUAAGUCUGACGUGAAAUCCCCGGGCUCAACCUGGGAACUGCCUUUCAUACUGGCAAUCUUGAGUCCGGGAGAGGUGAGUGGAACUCCUAGUGUAGCAGUGAAAUGCGUAGAUAUGCGGAGGAACACCGAUGGCGAAGGCAAUCCCCUGGGCCUGCACUGACGCUCAUGCACGAAAGCGUGGGGAGCAAACAGG
rnacentral:rRNA from 1 species